GGGUGUAUUGUAUAUGGAAUUACUGGCAUUUUUAAAGAAGUCUAUGGAAUUUAAAAGUCCGGGUGUAUUCAAUACAGACUUUUAACAAUCCAUAAAAGUCUAGGUGUAUUCAAUCAGGAUUUUAAAAAAUCUUUAUGAAUUCCACCAAAGUCUAGGGGUAUUCAAUUAGGACUUUUAAAAAUGAAUAGAAGUUUAAGGGUAUUCAAAAUAUCAUUCAUACAUACGGAAUUAGAAAAUCAUGGAAAAUCAUGGACUUUAUAGUGUUUAGUAUAAAUACCAAACUCCAAUAUUUGUCCAGCCAUCAGAGCAAAGAUUUUGAGCGUGGAAAAGUCUAUCAAAGUUCUGCUCUCUGCACGCGAAGAGAUGGGAGAUUCACAAGGGAAUGGUAAAAGAAAGGAUUACAAAACUUGGAACACUGAAGAAAGCAACGUUUUGCUUCAACUUAUGGUUGAAGGCUCCAAACUUGGAUUUCGUGAUAUUAAUGGUGUGAUAAGCAAACAAACAGUAGAGGCGAAGCUACUUCCUAAACUUAAGGAAAAACUUGGUUAUGAAAUAACUUUUAGUCAUUACCAAAGCAGAGUGAAAUGGUUUAAGAAACAAUACACCAAUUACUCUCAGCUUAUGGGCCAUAGUUCUGGAUUUGGGUGGGAUCCCAUCACAAAAAGAUUCACUGCUGAUGAUGAAGUAUGGGCAGAUUAUUUGAAGUCACAUCCAACGCAUGGGCACUUUCGGUCAGAAACUUUUCCAGACUAUGAGGACUUGAAAAUUGCAGUUGGAAAUGGAACUGCAACUGGAAUGGGCUCAAUCAGUCUAGGUGAUGAUACAGAUGCAACAACAUUUGGAGCGGAGGAAAAUGAAUCUUGGGGAAUUGGUGGCAUAGAUGGAUUAGUUUUUGAUCGAAAUACUAACAUGUUCGUACAAAGUGAAAAUGAGUCAUCACAACAACCUUCCCAAGGUACCAGUAUAGAUGCUCCAGCUCCACCACAUAGCAGGACUCAAGGAAAACGGAGUAGAACUGACUAUGAAAAUAAUAGUGGCUCAAAAGGGGCUACUGGUCAGGCUGAGGUUCUAGAAAACUUAUCAAGUGGCAUUGGUAAAAUUGUCACAAGUUUUGAUAAAAUUUGUGGCUUAAUGGAGAAGAGAGAAUCAAGAGAGAGUGACCUUUUGGAUGCUAUGAAGGAGACUCCAGGAUUAACUGAUGAAGCUUGCUUUAUGGCUCUUGAUUUGCUUAAUACUAAAGCAAAGCAAGAUUUCUUCUUGAAGAUGACUCCUGAACAGCGACUUAAUUGGAUCACCUAUAAACAAAUGCAAUAGGUGCUUUCUCUAUUAGCAAUGUCUGAAAUGGACAUGUAUGGAGCUGAUGAAGAGGAAGAACAGUUUUACGAGGCUGUUAAGAUAUUAUUAAUGGCAAUACAAGCAGUGGUUUAUGUGUUAUACGACCUUGUAUUCAGCAUACGUGGUGAACGUAUUAGACGUCCACUGACUCGGCGACCAGUGACAUCAAGUGGAUACAUAUAUAUGCACAAAAUAUUAGACAAAGACCCUCAAAUCUUUAGAGAGGUGUAUAGAAUGUAUCCUGACGUUUUUCGAAAAUUAUGUAGCAUCCUAAAAGUGAAAACACCUUUGCGAGAUACAAGACACAUUUGUGUUGAAGAAAUGCUCGCAACCUUUCUACUUGUUGUCGGCCAAAACAAUCGAUACAGUGAAGCUCGGCUGAUAUUUGAGCGAUCUCAUUUCACUGUUAGCAAAAGUUUCAACAAAGUCUUGAAGGCCUUGAAUACAAUAGCACCGGAGUUUAUGGCUAAACCUGAGUCCGUGCCACCUAACAUAAGAGAAAGUACAAGGUUUUAUCCUUACUUUAAGGAUUGCGUCGGAGCUAUAGAUGGCACACAUAUUCCAGCAACGGUAGUUGGACGUGAGGUUAGCAGAUAUCGAAAUCGACAUGGGAAGAUAUCACAAAAUGUAUUAGCAGCUUGUAACUUUGAUUUACAGUUCACAUAUGUAAUUAGUGGAUGGGAGGGUUCCGCUCAUGAUUCAAAAGUAUUGAAUGAUGCGAUUUCUAGACGAAAUGGACUCAAAGUGCCACCAGGUAAAUAUUACUUAGGGGACUGCGGAUUUCCAAAUCGACGCCGGUUUUUAGCUCCAUUUCGAGGUACUUGAUAUCAUCUCAAAGAUUUUGGUGGUGAAGGAAACCAUCCUGUC